UCGGCCCCGGUUCACGCACGGGCAUCCCGCCCGGGCGACCCGGCGCC
rnacentral:ncRNA from 1 species